rnacentral:rRNA from 1 species
AUUGAACGCUGGCGGCAGGCAUAACACAUGCAAGUCGAGCGGAGCGGCGGACGGGUGAGUAAUGCCUAGGAAUCUGCCUGGUAGUGGGGGAUAACGUCCGGAAACGGGCGCUAAUACCGCAUACUAACAGAUGAGCCUAGGUCGUAUUAUCUAGUUGGUGGGGUAAAGGCCUACAAAGGCGACGAUCCGUAACUGGUCUGAGAGGAUGCUCAGUCACACUGGAACUUAGACGUGGUCCAGACGCCGACGUGAGGCAGCAGUGGGGAAUAUUGGGCAAUGGGCGAAAUCCUGAUGCAGCCAUGCCGCGUGUGUGAAGAAGGGCUUCGGAUUGUAAAGCACGUUAGGUUGGGAGGCGUUACCAACAGAAUAAGCACCGGCUAACUUCGUGCCAGCAGCCGCGGUAAUUC